CCUACGGGUGGCAGCAGUGAGGAAUAUUGGUCAAUGGCCGUAAGGCUGAACCAGCCAAGUAGCGUGAGGGAAGACUGCCCUAUGGGUUGUAAACCUCUUUUAUGCGGGGAUAAAGGUGUCCACGUGUGGCUGUUUGCAGGUACCGCAUGAAUAAGGACCGGCUAAUUCCGUGCCAGCAGCCGCGGUAAUACGGAAGGUCCGGGCGUUAUCCGGAUUUAUUGGGGUUAAAGGGAGCGUAGGCGGAACAUUAAGUCAGCGGUAAAAUCGAGGGGCUCAACCCCUUUAAGCCGUUGAAACUGGUGAUCUUGAGUGGGCGAGAAGUAUGCGGAAUGCGUGGUGUAGCGGUGAAAUGCAUAGAUAUCACGCAGAACUCCGAUUGCGAAGGCAGCAUACCGGCGCCCGACUGACGCUGAGGCACGAAAGCGUGGGGAUCAAACAGGAUUAGAUACCCGUGUAGUC
rnacentral:rRNA from 1 species